ACGGAGGGUGCAAGCGUUAAUCGGAAUUACUGGGCGUAAAGCGCUUGUAGGCGGCCUGCCAAGUCGCGUGUGAAAUCCCCUGGCUUAACCAGGGAAGUGCGCGCGAAACUGGCGGGCUUGAGUGCCGGAGAGGGUCGCGGAAUUCCCGGUGUAGAGGUGAAAUUCGUAGAUAUCGGGAGGAACACCAGUGGCGAAGGCGGCGACCUGGACGGACACUGACGCUGAGACGCGAAAGCGUGGGGAGCAAACAGGA
rnacentral:rRNA from 1 species